rnacentral:rRNA from 1 species
GACGAACGCUGUCGGCGUGCUUAACAUAUGCAAGUCGAACGGAAAGGCCCUGCUUUUGUGGGGUGCUCGAGUGGCGAACGGGUGAGUAACACGUGAGUAACCUGCCCUUGACUUUGGGAUAACUUCAGGAAACUGGGGCUAAUACCGGAUAGGAGCUCCUGCUGCAUGGUGGGGGUUGGAAAGUUUCGGCGGUUGGGGAUGGACUCGCGGCUUAUCAGCUUGUUGGUGGGGUAGUGGCUUACCAAGGCUUUGACGGGUAGCCGGCCUGAGAGGGUGACCGGCCACAUUGGGACUGAGAUACGGCCCAGACUCCUACGGGAGGCAGCAGUGGGGAAUAUUGCACAAUGGGCGGAAGCCUGAUGCAGCAACGCCGCGUGCGGGAUGACGGCCUUCGGGUUGUAAACCGCUUUCGCCUGUGACGAAGCGUGAGUGACGGUAAUGGGUAAAGAAGCACCGGCUAACUACGUGCCAGCAGCCGCGGUGAUACGUAGGGUGCGAGCGUUGUCCGGAUUUAUUGGGCGUAAAGGGCUCGUAGGUGGUUGAUCGCGUCGGAAGUGUAAUCUUGGGGCUUAACCCUGAGCGUGCUUUCGAUACGGGUUGACUUGAGGAAGGUAGGGGAGAAUGGAAUUCCUGGUGGAGCGGUGGAAUGCGCAGAUAUCAGGAGGAACACCAGUGGCGAAGGCGGUUCUCUGGGCCUUUCCUGACGCUGAGGAGCGAAAGCGUGGGGAGCGAACAGGCUUAGAUACCCUGGUAGUCCACGCUGUAAACGGUGGGUACUAGGUGUGGGGUCCAUUCCACGGGUUCCGUGCCGUAGCUAACGCUUUAAGUACCCCGCCUGGGGAGUACGGCCGCAAGGCUAAAACUCAAAGGAAUUGACGGGGCCCCGCACAAGCGGCGGAGCAUGCGGAUUAAUUCGAUGCAACGCGUAGAACCUUACCUGGGUUUGACAUGGAUCGGGAGUGCUCAGAGAUGGGUGUGCCUCUUUUGGGGUCGGUUCACAGGUGGUGCAUGGCUGUCGUCAGCUCGUGUCGUGAGAUGUUGGGUUAAGUCCCGCAACGAGCGCAACCCUUGUUCACUGUUGCCAGCACGUUAUGGUGGGGACUCAGUGGAGACCGCCGGGGUCAACUCGGAGGAAGGUGGGGAUGACGUCAAGUCAUCAUGCCCCUUAUGUCCAGGGCUUCACGCAUGCUACAAUGGCUGGUACAGAGAGUGGCGAGCCUGUGAGGGUGAGCGAAUCUCGGAAAGCCGGUCUCAGUUCGGAUUGGGGUCUGCAACUCGACCUCAUGAAGUCGGAGUCGCUAGUAAUCGCAGAUCAGCAACGCUGCGGUGAAUACGUUCCCGGGGCU